CCUACGGGAGGCAGCAGUGAGGAAUAUUGCGCAAUGGGGGCAACCCUGACGCAGCGACGCCGCGUGAGUGAGGAAGGCCUUCGGGUCGUAAAGCUCUGUCAGCAGGGAAGAAGUGUGAGGGGGUUAACAGCCUUUUCAUUUGACGGUACCUGCAGAGGAAGCACCGGCUAACUCCGUGCCAGCAGCCGCGGUAAUACGGAGGGUGCGAGCGUUGCUCGGAAUUACUGGGCGUAAAGGGCGCGCAGGCGGCUUUAUAAGUCAGAUGUGAAAGUCCACGGCUUAACUGUGGAAGUGCAUUUGAAACUGUGAGGCUUGAGUGCCAGAGGGGAAGGUGGAAUUCCCGGCGUAGAGGUGAAAUUCGUAGAUAUCGGGAGGAAUACCGGUGGCGAAGGCGACUUUCUGGCUGGAUACUGACGCUGAGGCGCGAAAGCGUGGGGAGCAAACA
rnacentral:rRNA from 1 species